rnacentral:rRNA from 1 species
UGUUAGUGGCAGACGGGUGAGUAACGCGUAGGAAUCUACCUAGUAGUAUGGAAUAGCUAUUAGAAAUGAUAGGUAAUACUGUAUAAUCCCUGCGGGGGAAAGAUUUAUCGCUAUUAGAUGAGCCUACGUUAGAUUAGCUAGUUGGUAAGGUAAUGGCUUACCAAGGCUAUGAUCUAUAGCUGGUCUGAGAGGAUGAUCAGCCACACUGGAACUGAGAUACGGUCCAGACUCCUACGGGAGGCAGCAGUGGGGAAUAUUGGACAAUGGGCGAAAGCCUGAUCCAGCUAUGCCGCGUGAGUGA